UAUCUCAAAUAUUUUACAUAGUAUUCAAAAAUAAUGAAUUGAAGAACAAAGAGUAUUGUACUUGAGACCAGAAGUUCACUGACAAGGAAAAAAAAAUCAUUUAGCUUGCAGAUCCUUUACAUUCAAAUCAAUGAGAGCUCUUGGGCUGGAAGAUGUAGCAUUGGAAAUGGAGAUAGAAAAACAUAGUGAAAAUAAUGACAUCUUUUUUUUAACUCUUAAAUUAAAAAUUUAAAUCUCUAGAGCUAUCAGCAUGAUGGCAGCCUUCAAAAGUGAAGUACUUAUUCAUGUGCACCUUUCCCCCUCUUUUCUCCUUUUUUCUUUUUUUUUUUUAAAUAUAAGGUUGGAUUUUGUAGGAAUCAGGAUUAGUGGAGUAAUUAUGACAAUAUAAAAAUAUCACUUUCAUAAAUAGUACAUAAGAUGAAGGUAAAAAAAAAGAGUGUUUGCUGGAGGAAAUGCAACUGGUCAGAAUUAUCUGAAUGAAAUUAUUGAGAUUAAUCAUCUUCAUUGGAAUAAUGUAGUUUAUUCUGAAACUGAAACAACCUGUGUGGAUAAGAGAGGUUUUUAAAGUGGAGAAGUGAAGGAAGAGCUCACAAGUUUCAAUGUAGAUUCCAGCUUACAAAGCUGCAGAAAGGAGGAAAAGAGUAGUAAACUAAGGAUUAGAACCAAGUUCCAGGUGGUGCAAUCGAUUGCAUGAUUCACUAGCUUUUCCGGGGCACUGACUUCUCAUCAAUCAAUAGUGUGGAGGACUUUGCAUUAGAGCCAACUGAGAAGUACUUAUUAGAUCUUGAUUUUUUUUGAUUAGAUAUUCUGGUUUAGUUAGCCGGGCACAGUGCAUGGGCUGCCAUAUACUCUUCUAGAAUGUUCUUUCUUUCCUUCUCGGUCUCUUCCGUGUGGCCAUGUCACUGUUCCGGGAGCCAUAAGAAAGAAGAGAAAAUAGUUACCAAGCAGUUUCUAUAGGAACUCUAAUUAAACGGUUGCUAAAGAAGAACGCUGCAAUGAAGUUUACAUACUUUCUCUCAUCUCCUCAAAAACACACAUACAGACACACAUAAGCCUACACUUUUUCUAUGUAGUUCAAGUGUAACUUUGAAUAAAACAAUGUGCACUCAGAGAAGGUCAAAACUAUCAUGGUGAAACAAAAUGUGCCAAUUCUAGCCAAUAUGUGAAUUGUAAGGGUCAGUAAUCCAUAAAUUAUUUGGGUGGUAAUUGUACGUUUUAUUAAUGUAAUGUGAUUUUGCACUAUUGUACUAUCAUAUUUAAGCAGACUCUUAAAAGUACUCUGAAACCUAAAUGCCAAAUGUACAGUUUAUAGUUCUUGUUAUUUCUGAUAAGGAUUUACUUGCAUUGUGCUAAUAGUUGUUUAAUGCUAUUAACUUCAUGUAUGUGUAAAAUUGCAAUGCAGACCCCAUAGGGUUGUUGUAAGCACACUAAUUAGUCAUCUGGAUUUUUAUAGAUAAAAUCACACAUUGAUCAGAAACCACUUUUCUACUUAUUUUUUUGUAGAGUAUUUUUCCACACUUGAAAAGACAUUAUUAUUUUAUAUCAAACAUCAGCUUUUCUUUAAAAUCUUAUUUUAGUAGCCAGUGCAUGUUUGAAAUAAAAUGUGUCAGAAAUUAUAUAAAGAUAUUAAGGUUGUGUUAUAUUAGAUGAAAAAACGCAUGCCUUUGGUGAAUCAUGCAACUUUGGGGGAGGGGGGCUUUUACACUGCCAACUCAUACAUAGGCUUUGUCCCAGUCUGUGUGCAUGAUUCACGUCUUUCAAAAAAUUCUUUUUAAACUUGAGUAAAGUGAAAAUGUUGUUCUUAGUGCUAAUGAGCCAAUAGAAAAUGUUGCUUUGCUUUUUUUUAACUGGGCAGCAUAAUGUGGUAAAAUCCCCCCACCCCCAAUUUUCUUCUUCAAGUCUCUUGUUGGCAAUAAAAUAAAACAAAUUAAAUCAUUUGUUGGCAAAUGAUACAAUUUACUGCAUAGAAACUUAACUAUUAUAAAAGCAUGAAGAUAUGAAAAAUAUCGUCUUAAUCAGUUCUAUACUAUGAACACAGUAUUCUGGCAGCUUUUUCUACAAUCAAGAAGAGUGUGUCUUCUUUCUUUUUACACUGCCAAAAUCAGUAUUACUGCCAGGGGUGGUGGGGAGGGAUGUGGGAGUGGAAAACACUUGAGGCCAGGUCUGCACAACACUAAAUUGGGCAAUAAUGUAGAAUAUCCAGGCAGUAUGAACAGCCAAUCAGUGUACUUCGUAGAGCAGGGAGGAAAAAUAUUUUUCUCAGUAACUUGGGUGAUUAGGGGGAAAAAAAUGUGUAGAAAAUACACAUUUUGGCUGCAAAGACCAGGCCUCUACAUGCUGAUAAUUUGCAGUAGUCUUUGGGAACAGAAAUUAUGCCAUUUGGUGAAGUUUUGUUCAUGUUUUUAUUUUUCUUUGGUGUUCUUCAGGAGAUAUACUUGUGCUUUUGAAAGGGCUUAAUUCCAAACAGAUAAUAUAUGUGGACCAAUGACCACUUCCCAAAUGAAAUUAGUCAUUCAUCAUAAUAUAGUAAGGCUAGAAAUAGCACUAGGUGACUUAAAACAUCAAUAUUAAGCAUUUAUAAGCAUUUAUACUGUUGGAAGGUAAUUUUAUUGCUAUGUUAUUAAAACAGUAGUGAUUCUAUUUAUACAUUUAUUUAUUUAUUUAUUUACAGAUGUUUGGUUCAUUCAAGUUCAAUUUUAACUGCUUCAGUGAAGUUAGUAUAACAGUAAGAAAAGUUGAGUCUAGCUACUAUUCCAAGUGAAAAUCAUGCAACUGAGUCUUGCUACAUCCUGGAGGAAAGCAUUAAUCCAAAUGUUGAGUAGCCAGUCCUGGCAUUUUGGAGGCCACCUUCACUGACCAGGAUGUUUUAUGUAUAUGGCAUUCAGUAAACAACUGAUCUGGGCUCUUAGUUUGCUACCAUAUUGUUCCCUUCAUCAAUUCAACUUGUAAAUAACAUAACAUGUUAUGGCAGCUAAGCAAAUAUUUUAAGAAGCCAUGCAAGGCAAAAUGCCAUAGGAAAUCUGUAUAUUCAGCUAUUUGAAGAACUUGCAUUUUCCACAAAUUAAACUGGAGAUAUCAUUUGACAUUUCCUUCCCUUAAAAAUGCCAUCAUAAUAUGGAUUUCUGGCCCAUUGAUGUCUUUCUGGGUUUAUAAAUAUAUGGUGUGUUUGUUAUAGUUAUAAUUUUUUGAAAUUUUGUUCAGCAAUUAAUAGUGACUUCAGUGAUCUGUGCUAAGAUCCCAAGGCAGAAAUAAAUGUAUAAAGGGUUUGAGCCUGUAUGUGUAAGGAGAAUUCUCUUUCUUCAAUCAUAUUUCCUAUAUUCAAUGUAAGCACUUCACUGAUUUACCACUGGAGUUAUUCCUUAGAUGUGUAAAUAAUGAUGUUCUAUUCAGGCUUAAUGAAUUCCUGUACUGUGGAUAUUUAAAAUAAAAGAAUUCAAUUAAA